UGGUCCCAUUUACAAUUUUUAAGUAAAAAAUAUUAGUUAUUGCAAUGGUUUUGAGAUCCCUGUGUCCUUUAAGAGCAUUCAGGAAACUGGUAAAUCAUACUGAUAGGUGAUAAAUUAAUCUUUUUGGUCAGGCUAACUGUUGUUUAAAAUCUGUUAAUGGUCUUAUUGUGGAUCUUGAUUUCUGGUCUGAUAGCUUGGUAGCUAGCUGCAUGGCUACAUAUGAGUGAAAACUUCUCAAAGUUUUUAUAUGUUUAUUUUUUCUUUAUCUGGCUUUGAUCUCUGUGCUGGUUUUGUCCUGAGGUUGGGAAUUUGUUGUUCCCUUACAUAUGGUAGAAAAAUGCAGAUUGCUCUUUGGGACAUUUUUAGCAAUAUUGGAUUCUUCGUGUCUCUUCAAUA
rnacentral:misc_RNA from 1 species